AUGCUCUGCGCGCCCCGCUCCCGUGGGUCGCGGCUUCCGACGGACAGGUGUGCCAGGAUGGCCCGCGCGGACGAGAUGCGGAUGACGUGGGCGCGGUGGCGAGCCCUAUCCAUGGUGCUGACUCUGCUCUGGGGACGCCCCCACGUGGCCCUGGCCUGCCCCCACCCCUGCGCCUGCUACGUCCCCAGCGAAGCCCACUGCACGUUCCGAUCCUUGGCCUCUGUGCCCGCUGGGAUCUCUCCACAUGUGGAAAGAAUCAAUCUGGGGUUUAAUAGCAUACAGGCUUUGUCGGAAACGUCGUUUGCUGGACUGACGAAGCUGGAGCUCCUCAUGAUCCAUGGAAAUGACAUCCCCAGCAUCCCCGAUGGGGCUCUGAGAGACCUCAUUUCACUCCAGGUUUUCAAGUUCAGCUACAAUAAGCUUCGUGUCAUCACGGGCAAGACCCUGCAGGGGCUGUGGAACCUGGUGAGGCUCCACAUGGACCACAACCAGAUCGAGUUCAUCCACCCGGAAGCGUUCAGGGGCUUAACCUCCCUGAGGCUCCUCCACUUAGAGGGGAACCUGCUUCACCAGCUGCACCCCGCCACUUUCUCCACCUUCGCCUUCCUGGACCACUUCAGGCUCUCCACCUUGAGACACCUCUACCUGGCCGAGAACGCCAUGAGCACUCUCCCCGCCGGCAUGCUCCAGAACAUGCCGCUUCUGGAGAACCUCUACCUGCACGGCAAUCCGUGGGCCUGUGACUGUGACAUGACCUGGUUUCUGCAGUGGGACGCCAAAUCCAAAGGGGUCCUGAAGUGUAAGAAGGACAAAGCGUACGAAGGGGGUCAGCUGUGUUCCACGUGCUUCAGUCCCAAGAAGUGGCACCGACAAGAGCUUCAGAAGCUGCAGGACGUCCACUGUCAGAAGCCCUCUAUCGAGUCCCCGCUGAGACAGAACCAGAGCCGGAGUAGCGAGGAAGAUCAGGACGAAGACGAGGAGGCUGACCACCCCUUCUCCCCGGACGGGCUCCAGUUCCCCGGGUGGAACGUGUCCGUGAACAUGAGCGACGAGCACGGAAACACGGUCCACCUGGUCUGCGACAUCAAGAAGCCCACUGACGUGUACAGGCUGCACUUGAACCAGACGGACCCCCAGGAGAUAGAGAUCAAUGCCACGGUCGCCUUGGACUUUGAGUGUCCCAUGACGCGGCAGAGCUACGAGAAGCUCUGGAAGCUGAUCGCCUACUACAGCGAGGUCCCCGUGAAGCUCCACCGGGAACCCGCGCUCGGCAAAGACCCCAGGCUCGGCUACCAGUACAAGCAAGAUGCCGACGAUGACACCACGCUGUACUACACGGGCGUCAGGGCGCACAUCCUCGCCGAGCCGGAGUGGGUCACGCAGCCGUCCAUAGAGCUGCAGCUCAACCGGCGUCUGAGCUCGGCCAAACUGGUGGUGCUGUCCUAUUCGUCUCAGCACUCCCUGGUCCUGUCUGCCAAGGACGCGAGGCUGUCUCGGAGCAGAAGCUGGGUGAUGAUCGAGCCCGGCAGAGCCGUGCAGAGAGCCCAGACCGUCCUGGAGGGGAGCUCCUGCCACCUGAGCUGCAACGUGAGGGCCUCCGAGAGCCCCUCCAUCUCCUGGGUGCUCCCGGACGGGUCCGUCGUGAAAGCGCCGAUGGAAGACCACGACGGCAGGUUCUCCGUCCUCACCAGCGGCUGGCUGAAGAUCAGGUCGACGCAGCCGUCGGAUGCUGGUCUGUACCAGUGCGUCGCUCGGGUGAGGGAUGAGACGGACCGGAUGCUCUACAGGGUCCUGGUGCAGCCGCCGGUUGUUCAGCCUGACGCAUAUACAGUGACCGUUCAGAAGAACCCAGGGGAGCCCGUGAUGCUGCCUUGCCAGGCGCUGGCCGUACCGGAAGCCCAGAUCAGCUGGAUCCUUCCAAACAAAAGGCUGCUGAACACGAUGGCCAACGCCUCACACGCCUACGUGCUGGCCGACGGCACUCUUUCCAUCCCCAAGGUUCAAGGCAGCGACAGCGGUUACUACAGAUGUGUGGCAGUCAACCAGCGAGGGGCAGAUCAUUUUACGGUGGGGGUCCAGGUGAGCAAGAAGGGGUCUCCGAAAAGACGCGGGCGCCCAGGAGGCAGGAUUCUUCCCGGAGGGCGAGGUGGGAUCGUGGAGGAUGAAGGCGGAUCCGGCAUGGGAGGUGAAGAGAACGCAUCAAGGACGCUCCUCCACCCGCAGGACCAAGAGGUGUUAAUCAGAGCAACGGAUGACGCCGGCGGCGGGGGUAAGAAGACCAGGAAAGGGCGCAGAAAGCUGAAACCCUGGAAGCACCCUGCAAAGGAGCCGGAGACCAACGUCGCUGAAGGCCGCAGAGUCUUCGAGUCCAGGCGGAGGAUAAACGUGGCCAACAAGCAGAUUAACCCAGAACGCUGGGCAGAUAUCUUAGCCAGAGUCCGUGGGAGAAAUCUCCCUAAGGGGACGGAAGGACCGCAGGUCAUCACAGUCCACUCGCCUUCACUAAUGAGGCAGGAAGUGACUCCACCUCCGCCUGCCGUCACUCCCGGCUCAGCAUCGCCUGUGCAGACCACAAGCAGUGCAGAAGAAUCCUCGGGAGAUAUGUCCAUAUUUGGUGAGGAAGAGCAGGUUUCCAGUGCUGUCUCCUCCCCUAGGACUGUUCUGCUCCAACCUGGCCACGACGGAGUCAUUCAUAGUGAACCCAGAGUGACAAGCACUCUCGCGGAAGAAUUUAUCGACGAGGACUCUUCUGAGAAGACCGUGGGUGCAACUCCCACUGAAGUUGACUCCAACCAGACCCCAGCCACAACACCGGCAUCUGUACUUUAUGAAUCUUCUACUCUGCAGACCCUGGAAAUGGAACACAAAGAGCCCACCGAGGAAAACGUAGCCACAGACAGCUGGUCUACCCUCCAUGCUGGAUCCGUGCCGGAGUCCACAUCCCCUGAGGAUGAAUCUCCGAUGGAUGCCGUACCCUUGGCUGAGUCUGAGACUGUGACCUACUUUUACCCUGACCUGGGGACAAGUUCACAACCAGCUAAGACCGUGAAAGAACAGGCCCCCACACGCUUCACGCCAACUCCCGCCUCAUGGGUUGCUGAGGCCAGGACGUCUGAGCCUUUUGAAGACCCCACCUUAGGGGACCCUGACGUCCCAGCUGAAACGCGCCUCCAGGAACAGACAGCCAGCCAGCAGCUUGUGAAAACUGGUUUAAGCACUCCAGGCCACCCACUGACUCCCGAGGACACGGAGGAGACUUCUCAGACACUUCAGGAAGGGGGCACGCUAGAGACACACCCCACAGACUCCAGAAGCGUCGAGGGAAAUGGGCAAGCCGUAGACCCGACCACUCCGCCUGACUCGACGCUGGAAGUGGUGAACAGCGUCACUGACUUGCAGCCUCCCGGGGAGUCCACGCUUGGCGUCGUGUUUGGCAAGAACACCACCACGGCACCUGUGCCCACACCAGCCCAAAAGGACACUUCACCAUCAGCACUGACCAGUCUUCCUUCUCGAAAGAGGCCCCACGGGAGGAGGCGAUUCCGACCCCACAAAUUCCGACACCGCCAUAAACAGACCCCGCAUACGACGUUUGCCCCAACAGACGCUUUCUCGACUCCACUGACCCAAGUCCCCGAAGUGAAGACUCCAAGCCUUCACGUGGCGAGUUCUCUGGUUCCUACGACCUGGGUUAACAGCGCUGUAGGUACCACCGGACGCUUGGACAUGGAGGACCACGCUGAACCCGUAUCCAGGGGCAGCCCACACAGGAGACAGGGCAAGAGGCGCAACAGACACCGAUACAUCACUUCCACCCUGAGCUCUGUGGCGUCUGUGUCCAAGCCCAGCCUUUCUCCAGAAGAUAAGCAUAAAACCUCUUUCCCCCCCAGUUCCCAAGCUGCGCUUUCCCCUACCACCGUCUCUUUCACUACUGGAGACCCACGGGAGAUAACCAGCGUGGAAGCUUAUAGCACAGCCAGCAUCAGCAAAACACAUUCAUCUCCUGGCAGAUUCCGAGAGACUGUUCCAGUCACACGUGAGCCCGCGUCAGACGGAGAGGAAAUGAAAGAGCAUGGUGUCACAGACCUCGGGGACUAUCAAACUGUGGUCCCUGGAGGCUCACUCACUCACGCGGCAUCACCUUCUGUGGCCGAGGUCUCCCGUGCGAGAGGGUUUAAGGAGGCGUCUCUGACGUCUCCCUUUCCAAAAACGACGAGCUGGGAUCCCCCAGGGGCAACCCAGCCUGGGAUGGAACACACAGACCCACCUGUUACCAGCCCUUUGGAAGCUCUUACAGAAUCACCCUCUGAGAGACAGUCGGUGCAUCUAGGUUUGCUUACUGAGUUUUCUCCUUCAGCGGCGGUCUCUACGCUGUUUCAACCCCAACGGGCGGCUCCUUCGACAACUGUCCCCAUCCUAAAUGUAGAGGCAUCCUCGAGUCUGGCGGAAACCACCGUCCGUGAUCAGAGAGGCCGUGAAACCACUCACGCUACCGUCCGUUCUGAAAUCGGACCGCAGAGUCACAUGACCACUCACGCCCCGGUGGAGGAGCUAGAAUCACCAUUCCCACCCACAACUUUGAUGCCCUUCGCAGAGACCACCACAGAGCCCACACCACCUCUUACUUCAGGGACGUCCCCAGCCUGGGAAGCUUCCAAACACCACGUCUCCUUCCAUUACGUGGGGACCCCAGAAACCAAAGCGCCUUCCGUGAAUAACGAAGUGACUCAGCAUCUGGUGAAGCCAGACCAGUUAUCCACGCCCUCUUCCAAGCAGGACAGGUUCACCUUGACCCCAGAGGAGGCGUUAAGAAAGGAAGCGUUUGAUGGUGCAAUGAAAAACGUGCUUCCCCGUGCUCCAGACGGUCCAGACGAGGCUGGGAGGGCCCCGGUUUUCCACCAACCAGCCAGAGUUCCUGCCACACCGAUCCCACCGAGAGGAACCGUGAGACCCCCGCACGAGGUCACACAAAGCCCCUUCAGAUACUCGGUCACCUUCCAGCCCCCUCAUCACCUGACCCGCAAACUGGGAGUCACCGCAUACCCGUCGAGGGUUUGGCCAGAGGGCAGGCACAUGACGACUCCGAGACCACCUAGUUAUCCGACGACUCCCGUGGUGGUUUUGUGGCCUGGGUCCAAACCUAGCAUUCCGGGUACGGUGACCAGCCAAGGAGCUGACCGAUUCCAGGGCAACUCGAGAUCGUUUGCAAAUAACCACCUGCCCGAUCUAAGAAGAGACCCCGUGGGCAAGCUUCCAAAUUCGAGAGCGCCUCCUCUUCCCGGCGGAAGAUUCCCUUUCUUUAUCAACAGGACCGUCUCUUUCCCCCAGUUAGGAGGUACUCCAAAACCUCAGGGACCCAGCUCUCCAGCCCCAGCGUUGAGAGACAGGAAGGCCAAUGUAGGUCCUUACACUAGAACACACUCUCAGAGCAUCUUCCACGUGGACCUGGGGCCCCCAGCGCCUCCAGUCUUGCACCCCCCCAGGACCACAGUGUUCCCUUCCACCAAUGUACGGACCAUCCCCCCAGUCUCCUCCACCCGGAGUUCCAUCCCCUUUGCGAUGUCUUCCGCCCCGCCCUCCAGAAGCUUCCAUCACGGCAGCGGAAAGCUCUUCUCUGCCGGAGGGCCACCUGCGUCCAAAUUCUGGACGCUCGGGGAAAAGCCGCAGAUCGUCACCAAAUCCCCGCAGGCCGUGACCGUCACUGCAGAGACGGACGUCACAUUCCCCUGUGAGGCCACGGGGAAGCCCAAGCCCUUCGUGACUUGGACCAAGCUGUCCACAGGCGCUCUGAUGACGCCCAACACCAGACUGCAGCGGUUCGAGGUCCUGAAGAACGGCACUUUCGUCAUCCGGGGCGUCCAGGUGCAGGACCGCGGGCAGUACAUGUGCACGGCCAAAAACCUGCAUGGCGCCGACCGCAGGGUGGUCCUCCUGUCGGUCACGGUGCAGCAGCCCCAGAUCCUGGCCUCCCACUACAAGGACGUCACCGUCUACCUGGGCGACACCAUCGCCAUGGAGUGUCUGGCCAAGGGGACGCCGGCGCCGCAGAUCUCCUGGGUCUUCCCCGACGGGCGCGUGUGGCAGACCGUGUCUCCCGUGGAGGGCAGGGUCACGCUGCACGAGAACCGGACGCUGAGCAUCAAGGAGGCGUCCUUCCAAGACAGGGGCGUCUACAAGUGCGUGGCGAGCAACGCGGCGGGCGCCGACAGCCUGGCCAUCCGCCUGCACGUGGCGGCCCUGCCCCCGGUCAUCCACCAGGAGAAGGCCGAGAACAUUUCGCUCCCGCCCGGCCUUAGUAUCCAUAUCCACUGCACCGCCCGCGCCGCGCCCCUGCCCAGCGUGCGCUGGGUGCUCCGCGACGGCACCCAGAUCCGCCCCUCGCAGUUCGUCCACGGCAACCUCUUCGUCUUCCCCAACGGGACCCUCUACAUCCGCAACCUGGCGCCGCAGGACAGCGGGCGCUACGAGUGCGUGGCCGCCAACCUGGUGGGCUCGGCGCGCCGGACCGUGCAGCUCUUGGUGCAGCGUGCGGCCGCCAACGCGCGCAUCACCGGCACCUCCCCGCAGAGGACCGACGUGCGCUACGGCGGCACCCUCCGCCUGGAUUGCAGCGCCUCCGGGGACCCCUGGCCGCGCAUCGUCUGGAGGCUGCCAUCCAAGCGGAUGAUCGACGCACUUUUCAGCUUCGACACCAGGAUCAAGGCGUUCACCAACGGGACACUGGUGGUGAAAUCGGUCACCGACAAAGACGCGGGGGAUUACCUGUGCGUCGCCCGGAACAAGGUGGGCGACGACUUCGUGGCGCUCAAGGUGAACGUGGUCAUGAAAGCCGCCAAGAUCCAGCGCAAGGAAGCCAACGACCACCAGGUCCUGUACGGGGGCGACCUCAAGGUGGACUGCCUGGCCACGGGGCUCCCCAACCCCGAGAUCUCCUGGAGCCUCCCGGACGGGAGCCUGGUCAACUCCUUCAUGCAGGCGGACGACAGCGGCGGGCGGGCCAAGCGUUACGUGGUCUUCCACAACGGGACGCUCUACUUCAACGAGGUGGGCCCGCGGGAGGAAGGCGACUACACGUGCUUUGCCGAAAACCAGGUGGUGAGCGAGCCGGCCGCCAUCCGCAACAAGACGUACUCGGUCAUCCACGUGCCCUACGGGGACGUGGUCUCCGUGGCCUGCGAGGCUCGAGGGGAGCCCGCGCCCAGGGUAACCUGGCUGUCUCCCGCCCACCGGCUCAUCCCCGCCUCGUCCGACAAAUACCAGGUCUACGAGGACGGCACGCUCCUCAUCCAAAAGGCCCAGCGCUCCGACAGCGGCAACUACACGUGCCUGGUCAGGAACAGCGCCGGGGAGGACCGGAAGACCGUCUGGAUCCAUGUCCACGUGCAGCCACCCACCAUCAACGGCUACCCCGAGGCCAUCACCACGGUGCGGGAGGUGGCCCCCGGCGGGAGCCGCAAGCUCAUCGACUGCAGGGCGGAAGGCGUGCCCGCGCCGCGCGUGCUCUGGGCCUUCCCCGAGGGCGUGGUCCUCCCCGCCCCCUACUACGGAAACCGCAUCACCAUCCAUCGCAACGGAACCCUGGACAUCAAGAGCGUGCGGAUGAGCGACUCGGUGCAGCUGGCGUGCAUCGGGCGCAACGAGGGCGGGGAGGCCCGCCUGGUGGUCCAGCUCACCGUCCUGGAGCCGCUGGAGAAGCCCGUCUUCCACGACCCGGUCAGCGAGAAGAUCACAGCCAUGGCCGGCCACACCAUCAGCCUCAACUGCUCGGCCACGGGCACCCCGACGCCCGCGCUGCUGUGGGCCCUGCCCAACGGGACGGAGCUGCGGAGCGGCCAGCGGCUACACAGGUUCUUCCACAAGGGGGACGGCCGGCUGCACGUCAGCGGCCUCUCGUCCGAGGACGCCGGCGCCUACCGCUGCGUGGCCAGCAACGCGGCGGGCCACACGGAGAGGCUGGUGUCCCUGAAGGUGGGGCUGAAGCCCGAGACGAGCAAGCGCUACCACAACCUGGUCAGCAUCGUCAAUGGGGAGACCCUGCGGCUGCCCUGCGUGCCCCCGGGCGCCCGGGGGGCGCGCCCCUCCUGGACGCUGCCCAGCGGCAUGGUGCUGGAUGGCCCGCAGGUGCGGGGACGCUUCGCCCUCUGGGAGAACGGCACCCUCACCGUGCAGGAUGCCUCGGUCUUCGACCGGGGCACCUACGUGUGCCACGCGGACGGUGAACACGGCCCUUCCGUCGUGAGCGUGCCGGUGAUCGUCAUCGCCUAUCCUCCGCGGAUCACCAGCGAGCCCACGCCGGUCAUCUACGCCCGCCCCGGCAGCGCCGUGAAGAUGAACUGCAUGGCCAUGGGUAUCCCCAAAGCCGAGAUAAGCUGGGAGCUGCCGGACAAGUCUCAUCUCACCGCGGGGACGCAGCCGCGUCUCUAUGGCAACAGAUUCUUGCACCCGCAGGGGUCCCUAACCGUCCAGCAGGCCACCCAGAGAGACGCUGGAUUCUACAAAUGCACUGCGAAAAACCUCCUGGGCAGCGACUCCAAGACCACCUACGUCCACAUCUACUGA
rnacentral:lncRNA from 1 species